rnacentral:lncRNA from 1 species
GUGAGGAUGGCCAGAGACGUUCUGCAUCUUCAUCACUGAGGGCACAUCUCGGGUGGAAACACCGGCGGGGCUCUGACAGUCUCUGAAUGCUUUGCCCUGAAUUGGAGGUUGAAACCAAAUCACAGAUGUUUUUCUAUACAGUUACUCUUCUCCUGUAAGCCGAGCUUUGACAGAGUUGAUGUCCAAAACAGCCGAGGAAGAACUGGACUGAAGAGGAGAGCGCCAGCUGACAGCGCCCGUCUGGUGUGAUGUGCCCAGAGAGAGACUCGUCCAGCAAGAGAUAGAGUAGAUAGGGAGCAUAGGGACCCAGUUAGCUCUAAAAUGUCUUAGUAGUGCAGUUGUAAGAAAGCUCUGUAAAUAAAUUGUAUGCCAUUGUUUUCAUAUCCUUACACUGUGUCCAAAACUGUGUUUGUUCGUAGUCCGAUAUGCCUAGAAAUAAAUGACAGAACAAUAAAUCUUUUCC